AACACACGCCGCAUGUAUAUGUAUGUAUGUAUGUACGUACAUAUGUAUGUGUAUAUAUAUAUAUAUAUAUAUAUAUAUAUAUAUACAUAUACAUAUAUACGCACACACAUACAUACACUGCUGUGUGUGUG